rnacentral:rRNA from 1 species
GUAGGUGGCAAGCGUUGUCCGGAAUUACUGGGUGUAAAGGGAGCGUAGGCGGGAAUGCAAGUUGAAUGUUUAAACUAUGGGCUCAACCCAUAGUCGCGUUCAAAACUGCAUUUCUUGAGUGGAGUAGAGGCAGGCGGAAUUCCUAGUGUAGCGGUGAAAUGCGUAGAUAUUAGGAGGAACACCAGUGGCGAAGGCGGCCUGCUGGGCUCUAACUGACGCUGAGGCUCGAAAGCGUGGGUAGCAA